rnacentral:rRNA from 1 species
GUAGGCUGAAACUCGCCUACAUGAAGCUGGAGUUGCUAGUAAUCGCGAAUCAGCAUGUCGCGGUGAAUACGUUCCCGGGUCUUGUACACACCGCCCGUCACACCAUGGGAGUCGGAAAUGCCCGAAGCCGGUGACCAAACCAAUAAGGAAGGAGCCGUCGAAGGCAGGUCUGAUAACUGGGGUGAAGUCGUAACAAGGUACC